GACGAACGCUGGCGGCGUGCUUAACACAUGCAAGUCGAACGGAAAGGCCCUGCUUUUGUUGGGUGCUCGAUUGGCGAACGGGGGAGUAACACGUGUGUAUCCUGCCCUUGACUGUGGGAUAUCUUCUGGAAACUGGGGCUAAUACCGGGUAGGAGCUCCUGCUGCAUGGUGUGGGUUGGAGAGUUUCGGCGGUUGGGGAUGGACUCGCGGCUUAUCAGCUUGUUGGUGGGGUAGUGGCUUACCAAGGCUUCGACGGGUAGCCGGCCUGAGAGGGUGACCGGCCACAUUGGGACUGAGAUACGGCCCAGACUCCUACGGGAGGCAGCAGUGGGGAAUAUUGCACAAUGGGCGGAAGCCUGAUGCAGCAACGCCGCGUGCGGGAUGACGGCCUUCGGGUUGUAAACCGCUUUCGCCUGUGACGAAGAGUGAGUGACGGUAAUGGGUAAAGAAGCACCGGCUAACUACGUG
rnacentral:rRNA from 1 species